GGGUGCACCAGACAGAAGAAAGAGAUUGUGCAUUUCAUGUAGAAGCAAAGUUAUGAAAGUGCAUCGGAUGUUUUGAGAAGCAAGUACUAAGUAUGGUUGGAGAUGAAGGUUUGGGGGAUGUCCAGAGAAUUGAUACACACAUGGAUAAUGAGAAGAGGAGCAUACUUCUUGAGAAGCACAGGUAAAGAGAGGAAACCACUAUCAAGAAAAUAGAAGGAGUUAUUUGAAUAACGUGGUGGACCAGAAGAAAAACCUCAGUUGAAAAAAUGUUGCAUCAC
rnacentral:lncRNA from 10 species